AGUCACUGACAUUAGAUACCCGUGUAGUCCAGGGUGUAGACGCUGCAGACUUGGUGUUGGAAGCCCUUUGGGGGCAUUCAGUGCCGGAGAGAAGUUGUUAAGUCUGCUACUUGGGGAGUACGUCCGCAAGGAUGAAACUUAAAGGAAUUGGCGGGGGAGCACCGCAACGGGAGGAGCGUGCGGUUUAAUUGGAUUCAACACCGUAAACUCACCAGGGAAGACUGUUACAUGAAGGCCGAGAUGAAGACUCUGCUAGAUUUUCAG
rnacentral:rRNA from 1 species